rnacentral:rRNA from 1 species
CCUACGGGAGGCAGCAGUGGGGAAUCUUGUGCAAUGGACGAAAGUCUGACACAGCCACGCCGCGUGCGGGAAGAAGGCCUUCGGGUUGUAAACCGCUUUCAGCAGGAACGAAAAUGACGGUACCUGCAGAAGAAGAUGCGGCCAACUACGUGCCAGCAGCCGCGGUGAUACGUAGGCAUCAAGCGUUGUCCGGAUUUAUUGGGCGUAAAGAGCUCGUAGGCGGUUCAGCAAGUCGGGUGUGAAAACUCUGGGCUUAACCCAGAGCCUGCACUCGAAACUGCUGUGACUAGAGUUCGGUAGGGGAGCAGGGAAUUCCUAGUGUAGCGGCGAAAUGCGCAGAUAUUAGGAGGAACACCAAUGGCGAAGGCACUGCUCUGGGCCGAUACUGGCGCUGAGGAGCGAGAGCGUGGGUAGCAAACAGGAUUAGAUACCCUGGUAGUCCACGCCGUAAACGAUGGGCACUAGGUGUGGGUCUCUAACCAACGAGAUCUGCGCCGUCGCUAACGCAUUAAGNGCCCCGCCUGGGGAGUCGGUCGCAGCUUAAACGNAAGAGAGCGCGNGNGAGAGCGACGACGACGACGAGGAGGAGG